rnacentral:lncRNA from 1 species
CCUUUUAAUCAGGUCAUCCUACUACUAACAGUGACUGGUAAAGUUUCUUGGGCAGUGAACAUAAACUUGGACUAAUUCAGGAUUAAUGCAAGAUUUCAGGUCUUUGGGCUAAUUUAUACAGCGGGCAAUACUCCGGACCUUACUUAGGACUCUCCUAUUACAUGCAAGUUGCAUAAUCACGUCAUAUCAAGUGCAACUCCAAUUGCAAGUGCCCUUCCGAAAAGAAUGUGAAUACAGGUGGUGUAGCCUAAACCAUCUUACUCCACUGGAACAGAGAGAACACUGACCAGUUUUUGCUGCGUGAACAAUCUUGUGUUUACCAAGCUCUGUGAAACAGACAAUUCCACAUCAGGACAGAGCAGCAGGAGUGGGUGUCAUUAGAGAUGACUUUCAUAUCAAGAAAUGAAGCCUCAUCACAAACCACAACCAGGUCAUCCCUUUCCUGCCUAAAGUCAAAAAGACCUCUAAAACUUUUCCCACUGCCGCACUCUGGGUCAGUUAGGGUGAAACUUCUUGGCAAAGCUGCCUUUUAGCAGUUUCUCUUUCCACACUGUAAAAGCUGUAGACGGAAAUUGAAACAAUGUUUGAAAUACAAGUCUGUGUAGUUAGCAUAGAAAGCUUGCAAUUAGAGAAAUAAACUGAGCCACUGACAGCAGGGAUGCUGGAUGUUGCAUUAAAUAGGCUGCUUUUGUAAACACAUGACAGAAGCUAACUUUAACCAGUCAAGUAAAAUGGAAAAUCUUCUAAUGAUACUAGGUAUUUUACGUAUCUCACACUUAAGAAUGCAGCUGGAGAUGAGGGACAUGCAGAACUGGGGGCGUGAACACACUGGCAAUCCCCCCACUUCUCAGCUUUGCUUCAUUCAUCACUUGCUACACAUACACACUAUGGAAAGCAUAGUUGCUGUAACUCCUGAGUUUCAGAUGUCAUAGUUGUAGACUCUAAAGAGAUCCUGACAGAACGCUCAAGGGAGCAGCUCAAUAACCUGAGUCAAUAGUUGAGUCAAUAGUCAAUAGUUGAGUCAAUGACUGCGUUUUCCCUGGUUAAUUCAGUAUGACAGGGACACCAUAGAACCACACUGGAAUGUGGGGCUCCAGCUAGUUAUUUGAAAGGCAGAGAUAAGCGGAGUGGGAAAUCUUUUAAGUGAUCACCGGAGAGAAUAACCUCACUGAAACUGGAAGCAAAGAGGAGAGUUUAAAUUGUGAGUGAUUCAGGUUGGAGAUGUGGAAUGGGACAAGUGAACAAGAAGGCCCGGGCCAGGACUAUGCCAGAGGCUGGGCCAAGAUCUCCCCUGGUGAAAGCCUUUAACAAUGCCAGAGUGAGGAACUGACAGUCAAGCUCAAGGUUAUCUGCAUAUUACAUAGCAUUCGUUGCUGUGCCUGCUAAAGUUAAAUAUUCAUGCUCUAAAUAAGAAAUUUGUUUCAGAGUAGUUUUAGUUUUUAACUAAAUCUUUGUGUCAUCUUUCUAAAGCUCUGAGAAGAGAAACAUCUUCUUUAAAGAGAGUAAACAGUUGCAUAAAACAGUAAGUUUAGACCCUGAUAUGUCUGGCUUUCCACUUGAACACCUCUACCAUUCAUGGGCUCUCGGACUACGGGGAAAGUUCAGUUCUGACUGCCCCAGAGCCUUAGAUACUCCAUAUGUUUUUCUUAAUAAUGGCCACCUGUUAUGUAUUUUAGGUUAUUUAGUCCAAGUUGUAAUUGCCCAUCCUGCAACUAUUUGUUGAUACUGUACCAUGCACCAGAUGCUGUUCUAGUAACCUUAGAUAUAGCAUUGGAGAAAAUAAAGAUCUUUGUG